CCCUUCAUGCAGCUGGUUGGUUGAUGCUGGUUAUUAGCUGUGGGCGUAUUGGAUCCUGUAUUGCUGCUUUUGUUGGUUGUAGGUAAAGCGCUUGUAAUGGAAGCUUUAUUGACAUGGCUGCUCGUCGAAAGUUAUGCUUCAUUGUGUCUCUUGUUUAUGGACGCCCACUGAAGCCACUGAUAGUUAAAAUGAAUUAGUUCAGAUCCAAGUACGCUUUGCUGGAAGAUCUGUGGAUGAAGAUUCCUCUGUGUAUUUUAAUCUUAACGUAUCGAACUUGAAUUGGGUGCGAGGACGUGCAGGUACUGUACAACAAGGGGAACGAUGCGAUGGGGUGAAAUUUCCAGGUAUGAUGGGGUGGCUGAUGACUGCGGCUCUCUCCCAUAACCGCAGGAAAUGUCCUAACCUGGCAUUCUAUUUCGCAGAGGUUCUCAGCGCAUAUGUGUAGUUUAAACGAAUUUAUGGAUUAGUAUAAUAUUAGCAUAUAGAUAUAUACUGGUAAUUCCUUUUAAUCCAAUAUCUUAACUAUGUCAUAUCGUUUGACAGUGUGGAUUCUUACUGGUGAACUUUAUCAACUACUUUUGAUACCACGGAAGUCUAUUUCUCUUUGUAUGGUUUCUUUAAUUAGAUAACCAGAGUAUACACUGUGUAGGUACAUUCUUUAUAUAUAAUGAUCCUAUAUAAGCUUUUAGCAACGGUGGCUAAUUGCAAGUAAGCAAUCCUCUUCUCUCAGCCUUCGAUAGCUCAGUUGGUAGAGCGGUGGACUGUAGUUGGUAUUACUGAAU